rnacentral:rRNA from 1 species
UACGUAGGUGGCAAGCGUUGUCCGGAUUUACUGGGCGUAAAGAGCGCGCAGGCGGUCGUUCAAGUCGCGUGUGAAAGCCCCCGGCUCAACUGGGGAGGGUCACGCGAUACUGAUCGACUCGAAGGCAGGAGAGGGUAGUGGAAUUCCCGGUGUAGUGGUGAAAUGCGUAGAUAUCGGGAGGAACACCAGUGGCGAAGGCGAGGUGCUGGACCCUUUCUGACGCUGAGGCGCGAAAGCCAGGGGAGCAAACGGG